CCCUUAGAUGUCCGGGGCUGCACGCGCGCUACACUGAAGGAAUCAGCGUGCUAAAACCAUUGUCGAAAGGCAUUGGUAAACCCAUUAAAAUCCUACGUGAUUAGGAUCGGGAAUUGCAAUUAUUUCCCUUGAACGAGGAAUUCCCAGUAAGUGUGGGUCAUAAGCUCGCGUUGAUUACGUCCCUGCCCUUUGUACACACCGCCCGUCGCUGCCCGGGACUGAGCCGUUUCGAGAAAAGCGGGGACUGCUGCUGUCGGGGCUUUCGGGCCUUGGCUUCGGUGGAAACCGCUUUAAUCGCAGUGGCUUGAACCGGGCAAAAGUCGUAACA
rnacentral:rRNA from 1 species